AUGAGUCACAGCUCGUCGGAGGCCCGCAGCGACGGCGACGACGACGCCGAGCCCGGGCAGAGCCGCGUCACCCGCGCGAAGCGGCCAUGUCCUAGCGCCAGCGACGUCGUGGCUCUCCCUGUUGCCGUCCCGGUAGCUCGUGUCAUCCGCGCGGCGGCCGCCGCCUCGCGCUCCAUGCCUGCAUGCCACGGGGGCUACAGCCCCACUGUGGCCGUGGGCAUGGCCGGAGCACACAGCUGGGCGCCCUACUCGGCCAUCAUCCCCGCCCUCCGCUCCCUCCUCCUGAUGAACCUCAAAGAGGAGACCUCCCUCAGGGCCGCGAGGGAGGCCAUCACGGGGCUCUACGACCACGCCACGCCGUUCGGCGCCUCGCGCCGGUUCCCCGCCGGCGAGGUGUACGUGUGUCUUGACCGAGUGCCGCUCGCCCAAACGAUGCAGGGCAUUGUGCAGCCCCUAGUGACGGUGGAGGCGGCUGGGAUGUUCGGCGAACAACUUGUUGACGCCUGCUCCAACUACAUCGGCGGGAUCUCUUCGGCCCUCCUAGAUCUGACGCGUGUUGAAGACCGCCCCGGCAUCUCCCCUGUUCUGUAUGACCGCGCGAUCUUCGAGUCCGUGUUCCUCCUGACGUGGACGGAGCCAUGA
rnacentral:rRNA from 1 species